AAUAAGUACAAAUCCCCAAGGAAUUAAUCUUGUUGUAAAUGAUAUGGACAUCAUGGAUAUUUCGAUUAUAGACGUUUUUGAUAUAUGUUCGAUGACGAGGUCCAGACUAGGAAACAAGGUAGGGGACAAACUCGCAUAAUAGCACUAAAAAGACAACCAUGGAAGAGGGUCUCCACAAAACAAAGCAGAAACGAUCCUGGACCAACCUCCACAGGAUGCAUCUUACCCAACAGAAGCCUUCAUGGUUGACACUGAAAUGCCCUGAAAAAUUAUCAUUUCCAUGGUUUACCUUUGGGCAACUUUAAGACACAAGUAUUCAGUAGAAGCACAUCAGG
rnacentral:misc_RNA from 1 species